rnacentral:rRNA from 1 species
AUGAAAAGAAGCGACGCUUCGGCCCGUCAGCAGCCCACAAUAAACACAGAAAAGAACAAAAUGGAUAUCUCCUUGUUCCCCUGGAAUUCCCCUUCUCCGCCGUGGUCGAACAAGCUCUCGGCGCAUCCUCGCCGUCGCCAUUCGUUCGCAAAAGGAGCCGUGGGCACAGAGCAACACGUGCAGCGGGAGCCCCCGUGGUCGGCGGCGGCCGGGAUACAGAGCAACACGCAGAGGGAGCACCCUGGUCGGAGGCGGCCAGGAUACAUGGCAGCACGUGCAGCGGGAGCCCCUGUGGUCGGCAGCGUCCAGGAUACAGGCCACGCGCGCUACAUGGGCUCCGUCCUUCGUGCGGGUCUAAGGGCGUCCAGUUGGUCGGCCUCCUCGAGUCACCGCCCGUGGUGGACAGCUCGGCGUACGCACGCAGCAACCUCAUGUCGAGCACCUGCACACCCAUCUCCAUGGUGGUGGUCGGCUGAACCACGCCGUCGUUUCCGCACCGCUGCAGGCCGAUUAGCUGAUAACUGA